AUACGAAGGGGGCUAGCGUUGUUCGGAAUUACUGGGCGUAAAGCGCGCGUAGGCGGCUUUGCAAGUAGAGGGUGAAAUCCCAGGGCUUAACCCUGGAACUGCCUCCUAAACUGCAGAGCUAGAAUCCUGGAGAGGUGAGUGGAAUUCCUAGUGUAGAGGUGAAAUUCGUAGAUAUUAGGAAGAACACCAGUGGCGAAGGCGACUCACUGGACAGGUAUUGACGCUAAGGUGCGAAAGCGUGGGGAGCGGACAGGAUUAGAAACCCUAGUAGUCC
rnacentral:rRNA from 1 species